GUCUUCAGCAGUUGGGUAGCACAGUUGGUAGAGCAUGAGACUCUUAACCUCAGGGACGUGGGUUCGAGCCCCACAUUGGGCA